rnacentral:tRNA from 1 species
GGGUCGGUAGCUGAGAUGGUUUAGCGGCGGCCUGAAACACCGCAGACGUGGAUUCGAGCGCCACCCGACCCAC